AAUGACGACAGGAGAGCUAAUUACUGUCAUCACCCUGCUGGGUUGAGAAUACUGGCUUGUUUGUCCAGCGCGGCUUACCUGAGUCAUCCAUCCUGUAGCCUGGAGCCCCCUGGGCCUGGACCGGGACCAGCAGGCUGCCAGGAGUCUAGAACGGGCCACCGAAGCUGGCGAGUGCCUGCACUUCCUCCUUGCUCUCCCCUCAGAGGAGUGAGAGAAACAAGAAGCAUGGGACAGAGAAGACAUGUGGGCCCCUUCCCUGCAACGGGAGGAAGAAGUUUACAGCCUUGAGGUGAUUUCCACGGACCCGGCUUUUCUUAAAUCCAGGGGUAGGCUUGUGCAUCUCCCUCCCAGCAUUGGAAGGUAAGGACGCUACAGCCUCAUAUCUAUUGAGAGUGUGUAUUUAUUUAACCUGCAGGCAAAGAUGAAUGCCCUCCCAGUUUCGGGACUGUGAUUUUGCAGGGUGGGUAACAGAGGAUCUGCAUAAUCUGAGUCUUGCUUGCCCUUCAUUUAACAAAGAAUGACAAUCAGGGUUUGGGUGUGAGCUCAUAGAAAGGAAAAGAUCAAGAAAGGAGCAUAUUUGAGGGGGUGUCAAGAGUUUUAAU
rnacentral:lncRNA from 1 species